rnacentral:rRNA from 1 species
UACAGAGGGUGCGAGCGUUGUCCGGAAUCACUGGGCGUAAAGGGCGCGUAGGUGGCGCGACAAGUCAGUGGUGAAAGCUCGACGCUCAACGUCGAGUCGGCCACUGAGACGGUUGGGCUGGAGCACUGUAGAGGCUAAUGGAAUUCCGGGUGUAGCGGUGGAAUGCGUAGAGAUCCGGAAGAACACCGGUGGCGAAGGCGGGUCUCUGGGCCGAUACUGACGCUGAGGAGCGAAAGCGUGGGGAGCGAACAGG